rnacentral:rRNA from 1 species
CAGCAGCCACGGUAAUACGGAGGGUGCGAGCGUUAAUCGGAAUUACUGGGCGUAAAGCGUGCGUAGGUGGUGGUUUAAGUCCGUUGUGAAAGCCCUGGGCUCAACCUGGGAAUUGCAGUGGAUACUGGGUCACUAGAGUGUGGUAGAGGAUAGUGGAAUUUCCGGUGUAGCAGUGAAAUGCGUAGAGAUCGGAAGGAACAUCUGUGGCGAAGGCGACUAUCUGGGCCAACACUGACACUGAGGCACGAAAGCGUGGGGAGCAAACAGGAUUAGAUACCCCUGUUAGUCCCUGUCUCUUAUA